UACGUAGGGUGCGAGCGUUGUCCGGAAUUAUUGGGCGUAAAGGGCUCGUAGGCGGUCUGUUGCGUCGGUAGUGAAAACUCAGGGCUUAACCCUGAGCCUGCUUCCGAUACGGGCAGACUAGAGGUAUGCAGGGGAGAACGGAAUUCCUGGUGUAGCGGUGAAAUGCGCAGAUAUCAGGAGGAACACCGGUGGCGAAGGCGGUUCUCUGGGAAUAUCCUGACGCUGAGGAGCGAAAGUGUGGGGAGCGAACAGG
rnacentral:rRNA from 1 species